AGUGAACGCUGGCGGUAGGCCUAACACAUGCAAGUCGAACGGCAGCACAGAGGAGCUUGCUCCUUGGGUGGCGAGUGGCGGACGGGUGAGGAAUACAUCGGAAUCUACUCUGUCGUGGGGGAUAACGUAGGGAAACUUACGCUAAUACCGCAUACGACCUACGGGUGAAAGCAGGGGAUCUUCGGACCUUGCGCGAUUGAAUGAGCCGAUGUAGGAUUAGCUAGUUGGCGGGGUAAAGGCCCACCAAGGCGACGAUCCGUAGCUGGUCUGAGAGGAUGAUCAGCCACACUGGAACUGAGACACGGUCCAGACUCCUACGGGAGGCAGCAGUGGGGAAUAUUGGACAAUGGGCGCAAGCCUGAUCCAGCCAUACCGCGUGGGUGAAGAAGGCCUUCGGGCUGUAAAGCCCUUUUGUUGGGAAAGAAAUCCAUCUGGUUAAUACCCGGGUGGGAUGACGGUACCCAAAGAAUAAGCACCGGCUAACUUCAUGCCAGCAGCCGCCGUAA
rnacentral:rRNA from 1 species